rnacentral:rRNA from 1 species
CCUACGGGGGGCUGCAGUGAGGAAUAUUGGUCAAUGGGCGAGAGCCUGAACCAGCCAAGUCGCGUGAGGGAGUACUGCCCUAUGGGUUGUAAACCUCUUUUGUCGGGGAGCAAAAGCCGGACGUGUCCGGCUGUGAGAGUACCCGCAGAAAAAGCAUCGGCUCACUCCGUGCCAGCAGCCGCGGUAAUACGGGGGAUGCGAGCGUUAUCCGGAUUUAUUGGGUUUAAAGGGUGCGCAGGCGGAUUUUUAAGUCAGCGGUAAAAUCGUGGGGCUCAACCCCAUCCAGCCGUUGAAACUGGGGAUCUAGAGUGUGCGAGAGGUAUGCGGAAUGCGUGGUGUAGCGGUGAAAUGCAUAGAUAUCACGCAGAACCCCGAUUGCGAAGGCAGCAUACCGGUGCACAACUGACGCUCAGGCACGAAAGCGUGGGUAUCGAACAGGAUUAGAUACCCUUGUAGUC